UUGAUGCAAGGUUAAGCAGUAAAUGUGGAGCCGUAGCGAAAGCGAGUCUGAAUAGGGCGUUUAGUAUUUGGUCGUAGACCCGAAACCAGGUGAUCUACCCUUGGUCAGGUUGAAGUUCAGGUAACACUGAAUGGAGGACCGAACCGACUUACGUUGAAAAGUGAGCGGAUGAACUGAGGGUAGCGGAGAAAUUCCAAUCGAACCUGGAGAUAGCUGGUUCUCUCCGAAAUAGCUUUAGGGCUAGCCUCAAGUGAUGAUUAUUGGAGGUAGAGCACUGUUUGGACGAGGGGCCCCUCUCGGGUUACCGAAUUCAGACAAACUCCGAAUGCCAAUUAAUUUAACUUGGGAGUCAGAACAUGGGUGAUAAGGUCCGUGUUCGAAAGGGAAACAGCCCAGACCACCAGCUAAGGUCCCAAAAUAUAUGUUAAGUGGAAAAGGAUGUGGCGUUGCCCAGACAACUAGGAUGUUGGCUUAGAAGCAGCCAUCAUUUAAAGAGUGCGUAAUAGCUCACUAGUCGAGUGACACUGCGCCGAAAAUGUACCGGGGCUAAACAUAUUACCGAAGCUGUGGAUUGUCCUUUGGACAAUGGUAGGAGAGCGUUCUAAGGGCGUUGAAGCAUGAUCGUAAGGACAUGUGGAGCGCUUAGAAGUGAGAAUGCCGGUGUGAGUAGCGAAAGACGGGUGAGAAUCCCGUCCACCGAUUGACUAAGGUUUCCAGAGGAAGGCUCGUCCGCUCUGGGUUAGUCGGGUCCUAAGCUGAGGCCGACAGGCGUAGGCGAUGGAUAACAGGUUGAUAUUCCUGUACCACCUAUAAUCGUUUUAAUCGAUGGGGGGACGCAGUAGGAUAGGCGAAGCGUGCGAUUGGAUUGCACGUCUAAGCAGUAAGGCUGAGUAUUAGGCAAAUCCGGUACUCGUUAAGGCUGAGCUGUGAUGGGGAGAAGACAUUGUGUCUUCGAGUCGUUGAUUUCACACUGCCGAGAAAAGCCUCUAGAUAGAAAAUAGGUGCCCGUACCGCAAACCGACACAGGUAGUCAAGAUGAGAAUUCUAAGGUGAGCGAGCGAACUCUCGUUAAGGAACUCGGCAAAAUGACCCCGUAACUUCGGGAGAAGGGGUGCUCUUUAGGGUUAACGCCCAGAAGAGCCGCAGUGAAUAGGCCCAAGCGACUGUUUAUCAAAAACACAGGUCUCUGCUAAACCGUAAGGUGAUGUAUAGGGGCUGACGCCUGCCCGGUGCUGGAAGGUUAAGAGGAGUGGUUAGCUUCUGCGAAGCUACGAAUCGAAGCCCCAGUAAACGGCGGCCGUAACUAUAACGGUCCUAAGGUAGCGAAAUUCCUUGUCGGGUAAGUUCCGACCCGCACGAAAGGCGUAACGAUUUGGGCACUGUCUCAACGAGAGACUCGGUGAAAUCAUAGUACCUGUGAAGAUGCAGGUUACCCGCGACAGGACGGAAAGACCCCGUGGAGCUUUACUGUAGCCUGAUAUUGAAAUUCGGCACAGCUUGUACAGGAUAGGUAGGAGCCUUUGAAACGUGAGCGCUAGCUUACGUGGAGGCGCUGGUGGGAUACUACCCUAGCUGUGUUGGCUUUCUAACCCGCACCACUUAUCGUGGUGGGAGACAGUGUCAAGCGGGCAGUUUGACUGGGGCGGUCGCCUCCUAAAAGGUAACGGAGGCGCUCAAAGGUUCCCUCAGAAUGGUUGGAAAUCAUUCAUAGAGUGUAAAGGCAUAAGGGAGCUUGACUGCGAGACCUACAAGUCGAGCAGGGUCGAAAGACGGACUUAGUGAUCCGGUGGUUCCGCAUGGAAGGGCCAUCGCUCAACGGAUAAAAGCUACCCCGGGGAUAACAGGCUUAUCUCCCCCAAGAGUUCACAUCGACGGGGAGGUUUGGCACCUCGAUGUCGGCUCAUCGCAUCCUGGGGCUGUAGUCGGUCCCAAGGGUUGGGCUGUUCGCCCAUUAAAGCGGUACGCGAGCUGGGUUCAGAACGUCGUGAGACAGUUCGGUCCCUAUCCGUCGUGGGCGUAGGAAAUUUGAGAGGAGCUGUCCUUAGUACGAGAGGACCGGGAUGGACAUACCUCUGGUGUACCAGUUGUCGUGCCAACGGCAUAGCUGGGUAGCUAUGUGUGGACGGGAUAAGUGCUGAAAGCAUCUAAGCAUGAAGCCCCCCUCAAGAUGAGAUUUCCCAACUUCGGUUAUAAGAUCCCUCAAAGAUGAUGAGGUUAAUAGGUUCGAGGUGGAAGCAUGGUGACAUGUGGAGCUGACGAAUACUAAUCGAUCGAAGACUUAAUCAA
rnacentral:rRNA from 1 species